CUCACUGUAAAAUUCUGUGAAGCUACAGCGCCAUCUAGAGGAGCAUUCGCGCAACUUCCUGUUUGGAAGACAGAUUUCAACAUGGCUGCUCCCAUGAAGACGUUUCUUUGUGUUACUGCUUGUAGCUGCAAACCAUGAGGAGGUGCAGCCACCAUGGAUGCAAAGGAAAUAGUCCACUGUGCUCUGCAGAUAGAGAGAGCCAAUGCAGACAGGAGCUACGGGAACAUCUUGACCCUCCUCGGUGACCUUGAUAAGCUCCACAUCACAGCAGAGCAGCUGGAAACGACAGACAUUGUCAAAGUCCUCUACAGGCUCCUGAAAACCUGCUCCGAUGACAGCGUGAAGAAGGCAGCAAAGGGCUUGUUGUCAAAGUGGAAGAGGCAGUACAGCAGAGAUAGACGAGGUGUGAAAUGCACGGUGCAGGGCGGGGACGCUGAGCUCUCUUGCAGGGCUGAGGAGGCUGGAGGUGGAGGGGUUUCCGAGCAGCAGGAUUCCCACUCUGAUUCAGCACAGCCAUGUGACAGCAGUGUGGAGAGUGUGACACAACAAGAGGUAUCAUCUUCAAGGGCCAAAGACGGCCUCCAGAGUCUUUCUUUCACUGCAGAGAGCGUCUCAGCUUCCUGUAGUUUCACAUCUGUGAGGUCCAAAUGUUUCCAGCUCCUUCUCGCCUCCCUCUGCCCUGCACUACGCCAUCAAGACAAGGCUGCAGAGCUGGCUGGAGACAUCGAGCAGCACAUCCAUGAGCUCCACAAAUCCAGCCCGGUCAAAUACAAAGCCUGCAUGAGGAGCAAGGUGGCCAACCUGAGGAAUCCUAAAAACAAACACCUGCAGCAGGGCCUCCUGGAUGGCUCGCUGACACCCGAGGCCUUCGCACGGAUGUCUGCGGAGGAGAUGGCCAGCGCGGAGCUCCGGCAGCUGAGGGAGGAGUACUCGUCCCGCGGCGUCAGCGAAAGACAGCUUCCUCAAGAGGUAGAAGGGACGCAGACGCACAAGAUCCGCUGCAAAAGGUGUGGGGGGUCAGACUGCAGGGUGACGCAGGUGUCCAGAGGGGCCCUCUUCUUGCCUGCGUGGGUGAGGCGGGGCGGCCCUGACGAAGACGCAAUGACUUUUGUGACCUGCAGUGGUUGUGGGCAGCAGUGGUACCACAGCCGCUGGGUCUGCCUCUAAACCCGAGUGUCAGGUUCAAGCAAUAAGGACAAAAAUGUACUUCUUCCAGCUGCUGAUAUGCAAAUAUUAUCUGCUUUUCUUCAUUUUCUAUAAACGUGUUCGGUGUACAGACUGUUGGACAGACAAGACAAGAUGGCUAAGAUGUCACAUUGCAUUCUGGGAAAAUGUCUUGUUUUCCAGGCAGUUUUCACUACUUUCUGACAUUUUAUUGACCAAACACAUGACGCAUUAAUUGAAAAAAUUAACAGGGAAAAUAUAAGAGUGUAUUUGCGUUUUUUGACACCAAAUUAAUGUUUAACUUCAGCUUUAAUUAUCUUAAAUAGAAGGAUCAAAAUGUCACAAAUAGAGGUUCCCCAGUUAAUUAGAUAAAUAGAUAGAUAGAUACUUUAUUGAUCCUGAAAUUCAUUAAUUCGAUUAAUAAAAUUAUAUGAUUUCUAAACUGUCAGAAAUGCUUAAAAUGCCCAUCACAAGUUCCUACUGCCUAAGAUGAGAUAUUCAAGUUGCUUGUUUUGUUUGAACAGUCCAAAACCUCAAAGAAACACAGCAAACGUUCACAUUGGAGUGGCUGAAACCAUUGAAUUUAUGUCAUUUUGAUUUGCUGAUUCAUUUUCUGGCUGACUUAUCAGUCAAUGGCCCGGCUGUAAUGGCUGUGCUGUAACACUGUGUGAAACUGUCCUCAUGUCAGCGGUUUUCCUGUUUCACCAUUCUGUGUGAGUUCAGAAACUUUUAUAAUCUCUUACAACGUGGACAGAGGCGGCUCGAGGCCUUGUGGUUUCUUCCCUUGCUGGGUGAAAAAGUGCAACCCGAAUGCUGAUAUGAGAUUUUAUGGCCCAAACAACAACAACAAACUGAGACUACAGGCUUUCCAGCAGCCUGUCAAACACGGCAAGCAUUUUCUUUAGCCCUGAAGCAGGAGGAAUGGUCAGAGGAAUGCAGGGUGGAGGACGUUUGGACGAUGUGUCCUUUGUUUUGAUUGCAGGAUUUUGAAUUUAAAAGCGUGUCUACUUGUAAAUCUCUUAACUAUCAGCCGGAUUGCUGAUGCUGAUUGGUAUCGUUUUUCAAGAAGCAGCUCUCGUCAUCCUCUUCUGGUUGAGUCACUUCCUGCCAUGUCCAGCUUAUCCUGCCUUCUCUUUCUUACAUGAGGAGUAAUGUGAAACCACUAAUGAAUAAUUUGUGUUUUUUUUGUUGCACUUAUUUUGUAUGAAUGAUUAAAUCCACUAUAAGAAGAAAAAGAAGAAGAAUUUACAUGCCCCGAGCCAUCUUACAAUAUCCCAUUCAUCUGGAGUAAACGGGCGCCAGUGGAUGAGACAUGUGACCGUAGAAAACGAUGAGCAUGUGAGUUGGUAAUCUGCCGUCCUGAGCAGCCUCUGGCGUGGAUAUCCCAUGGUCCUUCACUCAGCCGACGUGGCGCUGUGACUCAUUUACGCAUCAUGGUGACAUCACACUGACGGACCUUUACUGUACAGCCUCACUUGUAUCCUCAGAUGGUUUGUCUGCACGCGGUGGUUCUGUCUUAAAUGUCUCUUUUCUAAAAUUUUUCAGUUUCUGAACUGAAACUUGAGUCUUGAUUUCCUGUUAGUGUUGUUCCUGUUUGUUUGUUUGUUUGUUGAGAGAUCUUCCUGGUUCAACAUAAAGUUUAUGGUCUUUGCAGCAAGCUGAGUUGGGCUUCAAAGGGAGAUUUAGGGAGGCCCAAAGACCAAACCCCGUGCAGCGACGGCCCCCCCUUUGGUCAUGUUUGUGAGAUAUGGAGCUGCGAUAUCUUGUCACUGAGAUACAGUAUGAGUGUGGCUGCCUGGUAUCUCAGCACCGUGGCUGUUCUCUGUGUUGUGUCUCCUGUCAGAUCCUCUGCUGUCUUAUUGUCUUAUCUUACCCUCCAGUCACGGUGGCCUUUCAAAUCAGUGCUCUGCAGCAGUUUAUAUAUUGGUUUAGGCUCCUUUGGCAAAUCUUAACCAACGGUGAGAACUUUGGAAACCAAAUGCAUCAGUCCUAAUAAGUGUUUGCUUUAAGCAGUGACAGUGCACAAAGGAAUAUUGCAAUAUGCAGGAGGUUAUAUUUCCCAGGCUUUAACCUACUGACCCCCCUAACAGGCUGUUUUCCAUGUUUAAAAAUGUACGCAUCCUUAAAAAAUGUAGGCUUAACCUUAGAUGUACAGCAGCACAGACAAAAGAGACAUUUUCCCCCAAAAAAGACAGAAAGUAAGAUCAGACAUGGAUGCGCUGACAGCAGGCAGCAGGGCGCAUGAUGGGAGGGGGCGUGGCCCUCCCCGAUCAUAUGAGCGUCAUCAGCGGCUCCGGGGCCAGAGAGCAGCGGGCACACCGGAGCGCCGUGUCACCGGCUGUUAGCGGCGACCUGUCGGGAUGGAGGAGGGGAAUUUAACAGCAGCAGCCGGGCUGUAACCACAACACCAGCAGAGAUUUGCUCUGGUAUGCGGGUGGAAUGACCGCCAUUCAGCUUAAACUGGCACGUCAAGUCUGCAAGCGUGCGUGAUUCAGCCUGUGCUUAAACUCUCACCUUUCCUUCGGCCACUUGGCGACUGUGAAGUUGAAAACUCUCUCCUGCAGAUUGCUGACAAAACGACACCCGUGCGCUGAUUUAAC